CUCCUACGGGAGGCAGCAGUGGGGAAUAUUGGACAAUGGGGGCAACCCUGAUCCAGCCAUGCCGCGUGUGUGAAGAAGGCCUUCGGGUUGUAAAGCACUUUAAGCGGGGAGGAAGGCUCUAUGGCUAAUAUCCAUGGGGAUUGACGUUACCCGCAGAAUAAGCACCGGCAAACUUCGUGCCAGCAGCCGCGGUAAUACGAAGGGUGCGAGCGUUAAUCGGAAUUACUGGGCGUAAAGCGCGCGUAGGUGGUUAAGUAAGCGAUCUGUGAAAGCCCCGGGCUUAACCUGGGAACUGCAGGUCGAACUGCUUGGCUAGAGUAUGGUAGAGGGGUGUGGAAUUUCCUGUGUAGCGGUGAAAUGCGUAGAUAUAGGAAGGAACAUCAGUGGCGAAGGCGACACCCUGGACCGAUACUGACACUGAGGCGCGAAAGCGUGGGUAGCGAACAGGAUUAGAUACCCUGGUAGUCCACGCCGUAAACGAUGUCUGCUAGCCGUUGGGGGGCUUGUCCCUUCAGUGGCGGAGCUAACGCGAUAAGCAGACCGCCUGGGGAGUACGGCCGCAAGGUUAAAACUCAAAUGAAUUGACGGGGGCCCGCACAAGCGGUGGAGUAUGUGGUUUAAUUCG
rnacentral:rRNA from 1 species